GAUGAAGAACGUAGCGAAAUGCGAUACGUAGUGUGAAUUGCAGAAUUCAGUGAAUCAUCGAAUCUUUGAACACACAUUGCACCUCUCGGUAUUCCGGGAGGUAUGCCUGUUCGAGCGUCAUUUGUACCCUCAAGCUCUGCUUGGUGUUGGGUGUUUGUUCCGCCUCUGUGUGUGAACUCGCCUCAAAACAAUUGGCAGCCGGCGUACUUGUUUCGGAGCCCAGCACAUUUUGCGAUCCAGAUCAACGUACAGCGGCAUCCAAGAAGCCUUAUUUAACGCUCUUGACCUCGGAUCAGGUAGGGAUACCCGCUGAACUUAAGCAUAUCAAUAAGCGGAGGA
rnacentral:misc_RNA from 1 species